rnacentral:rRNA from 1 species
GUGAACCAGUACCGUGAGGGAAAGGCGAAAAGAACCCCGGCGAGGGGAGUGAAAAAGAACCUGAAACCGUGUACGUACAAGCAGUGGGAGCACGCUUAGGCGUGUGACUGCGUACCUUUUGUAUAAUGGGUCAGCGACUUAUAUUCUGUAGCAAGGUUAACCGAAUAGGGGAGCCGAAGGGAAACCGAGUCUUAACUGGGCGUUAAGUUGCAGGGUAUAGACCCGAAACCCGGUGAUCUAGCCAUGGGCAGGUUGAAGGUUGGGUAACACUAACUGGAGGACCGAACCGACUAAUGUUGAAAAAUUAGCGGAUGACUUGUGGCUGGGGGUGAAAGGCCAAUCAAACCGGGAGAUAGCUGGUUCUCCCCGAAAGCUAUUUAGGUAGCGCCUCGUGAAUUCAUCUCCGGGGGUAGAGCACUGUUUCGGCAAGGGGGUCAUCCCGACUUACCAACCCGAUGCAAACUGCGAAUACCGGAGAAUGUUAUCACGGGAGACACACGGCGGGUGCUAACGUCCGUCGUGAAGAGGGAAACAACCCAGACCGCCAGCUAAGGUCCCAAAGUCAUGGUUAAGUGGGAAACGAUGUGGGAAGGCCCAGACAGCCAGGAUGUUGGCUUAGAAGCAGCCAUCAUUUAAAGAAAGCGUAAUAGCUCACUGGUCGAGUCGGCCUGCGCGGAAGAUGUAACGGGGCUAAACCAUGCACCGAAGCUGCGGCAGCGACGCUGAUGCGUUGUUGGGUAGGGGAGCGUUCUGUAAGCCUGCGAAGGUGUGCUGUGA